rnacentral:rRNA from 1 species
UACGGAGGGGCUAGCGUUGUCCGAAGUUACUGGGCGUAAAGCGCGCGUAGGCGGGUUGGUAAGUCCGCUGUGAAAGCCCGGAGCUUAACUCCGGAGGGUCGGUGGAUACUGCCAGUCUUGAAGGUGCUAGGGGGAGAUGGAAUUACCGGGUGUAGCGGUGAAAAUGCGUAGAUAUCGGUAGGAACACCAGUGGCGAAGGCGGUCUCCCUGGGGCAUUCUUGACGCUGAGGCGCGAAAGCUGGGGGGAGCAAACGGG